rnacentral:tRNA from 1 species
AGUAAGGUAAGCUAAUUCUAAGCUAAUAGGUUCAUACCCUGUAAAUAGAAGAUAAUUUCUCCUUCCUA